CUGACAGAAGCCGUUGCAAAUGAUUAGCACCAGCUAACCUUACAGGGGUUAACUUUGUUGUUACAGCUACGCUGUCUGCCCUAUAACGUGACGUUAGAAACCUACUCCAGCAAAGCACUCCUGUGAGACUCCACUGGUGUCCUGCUGCUCUAACCCUCUCCUGGAACUGCUCCUGCUCAGCUGCAUACCUGCUACAGUUCAGAAUCACAUGCUCAACAUUCUCACUCACUCCACACCUCUCACACCGAUCAUUACUCCUUUUUCCUAAUGUAUACAAAGUGUUAUUUAGUCCUGUAUGCCCCACCCUGAGUCUCAUUAUUAAUUUCCUCCCUUAUUUUCCUUUCCUUAUAGUUCUUUUUUAUUACUGAUUUUUGUAUUUUGUAAAAGCUCCUUCCUUUCUGGUCUUCUUUCCACCUUUUUCUGCCGUAUUUCCAUUCCUUUCUUCUUAAUUGUUGCUUUCCCUUCUCCUGUCCCAAGAGGUAUUUGGACUGUUGAGUUCUUCCCCAGUGCCCCUUUUGCUAAUUUGUCUACAUCCUCAUUUCCUUUCACCCCUCAUGUGCUGGCACCCAACAGAACUGUACAUCUACACCACCCCUGUGAAGUCUAGGCAAACUGUGUUGUAUUUCAACGGAGACGAGUCUGCUUACAGACAGGAGGUGGAGCAGCUGGCUCUCUGGUGUAGUCAGAACCCGCUCAAGACGGUAGAGAUGACAGUGGACUUCCCCCAUCCCCCCUCAACAUCCUGAACAGCAUUUUGUCUACUGUGGACUCUUUUAGGUUCCUGGGAUCCAUAAUCUCCCGGGACCUGAGGUGGACCUCCCACAUAGACACAAUCAGAAAAAAGGCCCAGCAGAGGAUGUACUUCCUGCGUCAGCUCAGGAAGUUCAACCUGCCCCAGGAGCCGCUGAUCAUGUUUUAGACCUUCAUCAUCCAGUCUGUUCUGUGCACCUCCAUCACUGUCUGGUUUGGAUCUGCAACCAAACUAUACAAACACAGACUGCAACGGACUAUAAUGAC